rnacentral:rRNA from 1 species
GACGAACGCUGGCGGCGUGCUUAACACAUGCAAGUCGAACGGAAAGGCCCUGCUUUUGUGGGGUGCUCGAGUGGCGAACGGGUGAGUAACACGUGAGUAACCUGCCCUUGACUUUGGGAUAACUUCAGGAAACUGGGGCUAAUACCGGAUAGGAGCUCCUGCUGCAGGGUGGGGGUUGGAAAGUUUCGGCGGUUGGGGAUGGACUCGCGGCUUAUCAGCUUGUUGGUGGGGUAGUGGCUUACCAAGGCUUGGACGGGUAGCCGGCCUGAGAGGGUGACCGGCCACAUUGGGACUGAGAUACGGCCCAGACUCCUACGGGAGGCAGCAGUGGGGAAUAUGGCACAAUGGGCGGAAGCCUGAUGCAGCAACGCCGCGUGCGGGAUGACGGCCUUCGGGUUGUAAACCGCUUUCGCCUGUGACGAAGCGUGAGUGACGGUAAUGGGUAAAGAAGCACCGGCUAACUACGUG